GACGAACGCUGGCGGCGUGCUUAACACAUGCAAGUCGAACGGAAAGGCCCUGCUUUUGUGGGGUGCUCGAGUGGCGAACGGGUGAGUAACACGUGAGUAACCUGCCCUUGACUUUGGGAUAACUUCAGGAAACUGGGGCUACUACCGGAUAGGAGCUCCUGCUGCAUGGUGGGGGUUGGAAAGUUUCGGCGGUUGGGGAUGGACUCGCGGCUGAUCAGCUUGUUGGUGGGGGAGGGGCUUACCCAGGCUGUGGCGGGUAGCCGGCCUGUGAGGGUGACCGGCCACAUUGGGACUGAGAUACGGCCCAGACUGCUACGGGAGGCAGCAGUGGGGAAUAUUGCACAAUGGGCGGAAGCCUGAUGCAGCAACGCCGCGUGCGGGAUGACGGCCUUCGGGUUGUAAACCGCUUUCGCCUGUGACGAAGCGUGAGUGACGGUAAUGGGUAAAGAAGCACCGGCUAACUACGUG
rnacentral:rRNA from 1 species